UAUUCAGGUCUGGGAGUGUCCACAAAUGGAUCCAUCCAUGUGACUAUUCUCACAAUCAGAAUAUAGAACACUUCCAUGAUCCCCAAAUUCCAUUGUGCCCCUUUUACAGUGAGACCCCAUAUUAGUCAGGAUUCUCCAGGGAAACAGAACCAAUAGGAUAUAUACAGAUAGACAUAAAAGGAAAUUCAUCAUAGGAACUGACUCAUGCAGUUAUGGAGGCAAUAACUCUCAUAACCUUCCAUCUGCAAACUGGAGACCUAGGACAGACAGUGGUGUAAUUUAACCCAAGUCCAAGGGCUUGAGAACAUGGGGAGCUGAUGGUAUAAGUCCCCAUCCGAUUCUGGAUGUCCAAGAGCCAGGAGUGCCAAAGGAGGAGGGCAGGAGAAGAAGGAUAUCCCAGCUCAGAUAAGGACACAGAGGCUCGGAGAAGAAAAGCAAGCCACUGAAGGUUGCCCAGUGAGGAAACAGGUUCCGUCAUUGCCCAGGCACAUGACUAAGAAGUAGAGAAGGUCAAAUCCCAGCCUGGAUCUAGCUGACCCUAAAGUCCACGGUUUCACCCAAUACUCUGUGAUGAUGGAAGUGAAGCUCAGAAUGAAUGAAGAACCAAAUGAAGAUCAGACAGCCAGUGAGUAGCCUAUAAUUGAACCCAAGAACUUGGAUUCUAGAGCCUGAGCUCUUAAUCACCCACCAUACUGCUAAGAUCUAAUCCUCAGCACCUAACGAGGAAUCACGCAGUAAGUAGCUUCCUGCAGGAGCCAUUGUCAGAGGAGAGGCAUGGUGCUGGUUCUGUUUCCCCAGACAUGGAAACUGACAGUCCUGGACCUGCCCUGACUACUGAUCCUUGUGAUUCUUCCUGGGCCCUGGCCAGGGUGAGGGUAUAGUGGCCACAGUUCGCACAGCUCGGACAGCCCCAAGCUAACAGGCACAAGGAAGAAGCAAACUGAAGCCUUUCUCUCAACAACUUGUGCCCAUCACUAGGAGUCAACCAGCCUGGACACUGCCUUGCAUGCUGUGCGUUGUGGCAUCGGGGAAAGACUUAAUGUUGGAGUCAAAUCUGGGUUCCAAUCCAUCACUUAAACUUAGCAGCUGGAUGGGCUUGGGCAAGGUGGGUAAACUUACUGACCCUUGGUUUCCCAUUCGUAAAAAAUGAUAAUAUGAGUCUCAUAAUAUGGAGACCAAACACAGCAAACGACCUGAGGUGUGUUAAGGCAGUAGCCUGCACACAGUGGA